rnacentral:rRNA from 1 species
AACGAACGCUGGCGGCAUGCCUAACACAUGCAAGUCGAACGAAGGCUUCGGCCUUAGUGGCGCACGGGUGCGUAACGCGUGGGAAUCUGCCCUUAGGUUCGGAAUAACAGCUGGAAACGGCUGCUAAUACCGGAUGAUAUCGCGAGAUCAAAGAUUUAUCGCCUGAGGAUGAGCCCGCGUUGGAUUAGGUAGUUGGUGGGGUAAAGGCCUACCAAGCCGACGAUCCAUAGCUGGUCUGAGAGGAUGAUCAGCCACACUGGGACUGAGACACGGCCCAGACUCCUACGGGAGGCAGCAGUGGGGAAUAUUGGACAAUGGGCGCAAGCCUGGUCCAGCAAUGCCGCGUGAGUGAUGAAGGCCCUAGGGUUGUAAAGCUCUUUUACCCGGGAAGAUAAUGACUGUACCGGGAGAAUAAGCCCCGGCUAACUCCGUGCCAGCCGCCGCUGUAA